UUCUUUUUGCAUUAGUUCACCUAUGUAUUGAGAGUGAUUCAUUGUAGGUGAGGAUAAGGAAGAGCUAUGUAUUUUGAGAUUGAAAAUGUAUUCAUUUAAAGAAAAUGAUGUAAAUGAAAAUGUUGAAACUAUUGUAAUAGUUAGUAAAGUACUCUCUUUAUUUCACAUGUGUAUCUUGUGGAUUUGCUUGCUCUUUGUAUUGUUCGCACUGGUUGUGCCCUUGUGGAUGUGUAUGUUUAGAAUUUAAUUUCCUGGGUAAAUUCUUGUACACAUUUCCUGUUGUUGAGCCUCGGGCGGACAGGGGAGGUGCUGUCCGUUCGGCGGCCUGCCGCCGCGGCCGAACCGUGCCAAAUUGGUAGUGGUUUCG
rnacentral:lncRNA from 1 species